UACGUAGGGGGCUAGCGUUGUCCGGAAUCAUUGGGCGUAAAGCGCGCGUAGGCGGCCCAGUAAGUCCGUUGUAAAAGUCAAAGGCUCAACCUUUGAAAGCCGAUGGAUACUGCUGGGCUAGAGUCCGGAAGAGGCGAGUGGAAUUCCUGGUGUAGCGGUGAAAUGCGCAGAUAUCAGGAGGAACACCAAUGGCGAAGGCAGCUCGCUGGGACGUGACUGACGCUGAGACGCGAAAGCGUGGGGAGCAAACAGG
rnacentral:rRNA from 1 species